UUCCUGCUUUUCGCGCUGCCCGCGCGCUCCCCGCGUUGGGGGGCUCUUCCGGUGCUAGCAGGAGCUCACCUGCGCUCAGGUGUCUGCAGGUUUAGUCACGCAGGUGCUGGCUUGUUUUCACGCUUUGUUUACAUUCUUUGUAAAGCCCAACAGUGCAGAUUCCAGUUCCUGAGCCGCUUCCUCUUUCCUCAUUGAUGUUUGACUUCAGUGGUUUUGAAAAACCCACAGGUGCUCUCUUUACCGUGACUCAGCAGAACCUCACCUGUGGCAGCAGGAGACUCUUUCUUGUUCUGGAGUGGCCUCAGGUUCCAGCUGCUGCACCCUGGAUCAGCUGAUGUUGGAGUCCUCACCACUGCCUGCAGUCCAUCUCUGAUCCAUCCUGCUGGGCUUUCAUUGGGCGCCAUCAGCUGUCAAGUCUGUGCUGCAGUGAGCUGAGGACCUGUCAGGGUACACUUUCAUGUCUGUGGCUGGGAUCGGUCUCUCCAUUACAAGGACGAUCUCCUCCUUCAGAUCGUACCAGUCCAGCAGAACCACGGGGGAGGC